rnacentral:rRNA from 1 species
AGGAGAGUUUGAUCCUGGCUCAGAACGAACGCUGGUGGCGUGUCUUAUACAUGCAAGUCGAGCGAGGCAGCAAUGCCGAGCGGCGAACGGGUGAGUAACGCGUAAGCAAUCUGCCCCAUAUCAGGAAAUACCCGUGCCAACGCGCGGUUAAUGUCCAGGAGAGUGGCCCUCUGCAUGGAGGGUUGACUAGAGAUUUAUCGGUAUGGGAUGAGCUUGCGUCCGAUUAGCUAGUUGGCGGGGCAACGGCCCACCAAGGCGACGAUCGGUAGCCGGCCUGAGAGGGUGAUCGGCCACAUUGGGACUGAGAUACGGCCCAGACUCCUACGGGAGGCAGCAGUAGGGAAUAUUGCACAAUGGGGGAAACCCUGAUGCAGCAACGCCACGUGUGGGAAGAAGCAUUUCGGUGUGUAAACCACUGUCGUGAGGGAAUAAGGCAUUUUUUCGGAGAUGUUGAAUGUACCUCGAAAGGAAGCACCGGCAAACUUCGUGCCAGCAGCCGCGGUAAUACGAGGGGUGCAAGCGUUGUUCGGAAUCACUGGGCGUAAAGGGAGCGUAGGCGGAGAAGCAAGCGGACUGUACAAUACCGGGGCCCAACCCCGGACCUGCAGUUCGGACUGCUUUUCUUGGAUAGUUCAGGGGCAGGCGGAAUUCCUGGUGUAGCGGUGGAAUGCGUAGAGAUCAGGAAGAACACCGAUGGCGAAGGCAGCCUGCUGGGGACUCAUCGACGCUGAGGCUCGAAAGUGCGGGUAGCAAACAGGAUUAGAUACCCUGGUAGUCCCCU